CCGAGAUAGCCCCCUCACGGGGGCGACCCUCCCACCCUUGAAUAACAUACCUUUGUUGCUUUGGCAGGCCGCGGCCUCCGCCGCCGGCUCGCGCUGGUGCGUGCCUGCCAGAGGACCCCCAACUCUUGUUUUAGUGAUGUCUGAGUACUAUAUAAUAGUUA
rnacentral:misc_RNA from 1 species